rnacentral:rRNA from 1 species
GAUGAACGCUGGCGGUAUGCUUUACACAUGCAAGUCGUACGAGAGUUUUUAACUCUAGUGGCGGACGGGUGAGUAACACGUAAGAAUUUGCCUUUAGGAGGGGGAUAACAACUGGAAACGGUUGCUAAUACCCCAUAUGCUUUCGAGUGAAAUGGAUUUCCGCCUAAAGAGAAGCUUGCGGCUGAUUAGCUUGUUGGUGAGGUAAUGGCUCACCAAGGCGACGAUCAGUAUCUGGUUUGAGAGGACGAUCAGACACACUGGAACUGAGACACGGUCCAGACUCCUACGGGAGGCAGCAGUGGGGAAUUUUCCGCAAUGGGCGAAAGCCUGACGGAGCAAUACCGCGUGAGGGAUGAAAGCCUAUGGGUUGUAAACCUCUUUUUUCAGGGAGGAACAAAAUGACGUGUACCUGAAGAAUAAGCAUCGGCUAACUCCGUGCCAGCAGCCGCGGUAAGACGGGGGAUGCAAGUGUUAUCCGGAAUCACUGGGCGUAAAGCGUCUGUAGGUGGUUAAGUAAGUCAACUGUUAAAUCUUGAGGCUUAACCUCAAAAUCGCAGUCGAAACUGCUUGACUAGAGUAUAGUAGGGGUAAAGGGAAUUUCCAGUGGAGCGGUGAAAUGCGU